UGGCUCUGGCAGGGGCAAUACCAUAAUCAAGGAGGUGGAUUGCCCAAAGUGAGGCUCAGCCAUUGCACUCUGGCUGUGCUGACCUUUGCAAAUUCCCCAAAUGCAGGAAUCUUGACUGCAUAAUUUCUGAUAGUGGCUGACUGUGUUUGCACUCUCCCG